rnacentral:misc_RNA from 1 species
CCAAUAGCGUAUAUUAAAGUUGUUGCAGUUAAAAAGCUCGUAGUUGAAUUUCGGGAUUGGCGCAUCGGUCGUGCCUUACGGGGUAUGAACUGGUGCAGUCAAUUUCUCACCUUCUGGAGAGCCGCGAUGUCCUUAAUUGGGUGCCGCGGGGAACCAGGACCUUUACUUUGAAAAAAUUAGAGUGUUUAAAGCAGGCAUUUUUGCUUGAAUACAUUAGCAUGGAAUAAUAAAAUAGGACGGCAUGGUUCUAUUUUGUUGGUUUCUAGGACCACCGUAAUGAUUAAUAGGGAUAGUUGGGGGCAUUAGUAUUCAAUUGUCAGAGGUGAAAUUCUUGGAUUUAUUGAAGACUAACUACUGCGAAAGCAUUUGCCAAGGAUGUUUUCAUUAAUCAAGAACGAAAGUUAGGGGAUCGAAGACGAUCAGAUACCGUCGUAGUCUUAACCAUAAACUAUGCCGACUAGGGAUCGGAUGAUGUUAAUUUUUUAAUGACUCAUUCGGCGCCUUACG